rnacentral:lncRNA from 1 species
AAUUUAAAAAAUUUUAUAGUUAAAUGACCUAUGGCGGAUGAAUGAAUGCUUGUAUGCUGAUAUAAUCCCGCAAUGUGGGAUAAUGUUUUAUGUUUUAAUAGCCAUCAAAUUGAGAUAUGGGAAGAUGCUAAUCAUACUGAAAUAAAAUAAAAAAUAAAAAAUAAAAAUUGAUAAGUAAGUUUUGAAAUAGUUUUUGUAACUUUCAAUUCCAGGGGUGGAAUUUACGAAUAGAAAGAAGAAAUGAAUGUUAGAUUAGAAUAAAAAGCGAUAAUAAAAGACAACAAUAAUAAACUACCUUUAAUUUUCUUUGACGCGAGUUGAUACUACUAACAGAGAGCUCGUAAGCUGUAUUAAGUAUCGGAUAUGGCCAGCUAUAUUGGGUAUCCAACGGGUUAACACCAGCAUAUGCUUGGCGAGCCUGUUAUAAUAAUUUGUUUUUUCCUUGUUGAAGGAGUGUUAUAAAGUGACUGUACAAGUUUACACAAAUGAGUUUUGGUUGUGAAUUGUAGUGCUAUAUGUUAUUACAAGUCUUUUAAACUUGUUUCAAACUGAUCCUUUCCGAAAAUAGUGAGUCACGUCGCGAUGACCUACUCUCAACAUUGCGAUGAGGUGUAACCAAAUGUUAGCUCAAAUAAUCAAAUCGAAAUUGCCAAGAGGGGGUGAAUUGGUUUUUAAAAAAUUUGUGAAAGCUAGAGAGAGAGGAUAGAAAACUUUGACACAAAAAAU